rnacentral:rRNA from 1 species
CAAAGAACUUUGAAGAGAGAGUUCAAGAGGGCGUGAAACCGCUUAGAAGCAAACGGAUGGAGCGGACGUUAGUCCCUGGGAUUCAGCCUAAUGGGCGUGGGGCGCGUGGUUUGCCUGCUCUUAUUCAGACAGGUGGCUGUGUCGACUCUGCGUUCAUGGGUGCAUUUCUCGGGGAUCGCGCCAAAGGCAGUGAUGGUGUCGCGUUGGCCUCGAGUUGGUGGCCUGUUGUUUCGGCAAUGGGUGUCUCGCUUGGGUGUCCGGUGCGGUCGCUUUUACUGUGAUGGAAAGAGUGCCCGCCUCUAGCUUGAGACUGCUGGCAUUUGCGUUGACGUGGCUUGGUUCCGGUUUCUGGACCCGGCUCGUUGAUGUUGGUGUAGGUGGUAUCUCGAGUGGUGCUCGGCUUUGGUGUUUUGUCUGUUACCCAUCCGACCCGUCUUGAAACACGGACCAAGGAGUCUAACAUGGGCGCGAGUUACUGGGUUGCAAAACCUAAGAGCGUAAUGAACGUAAAGGCUGGCUUUGUCAGCUGACAUGGGAUCCGUGGCUUCGGCUGCGGCGCACCAUGGUCCCGCCCUGACUGCAUUGUCAGUGGGGCGGAGAUAGAGCGUGCAUGUUGGGACCCGAAAGAUGGUGAACUUUGCCUGAACAGGAUGAAGCCAGAGGAAACUCUGGUGGAAGUCCGUAGAGGUUCUGACGUGCAAAUCGAUCUUCAGAUUUGGGUAAAGGGGCGCAAGACUAAUCGAACUAUC